CCAAAAACGGACCAUCCUCCUUUUUAGAAAAAUUAUCUACUAAACUUGAUAGGCAAAAUUGUUACUAGAUUAAAAGAUUAUGGAAACUAAAGUAAACCCAGUCUAAAGUCUUAAAAAAUAUAUCAGUAUAUAUUUAGUAUUUCUAGGGUAUUAAGGUUAAUACGGUGCCAGCAACCGCGGUCAAACCUUAUUAAUAAAUAAUUUAUAAUAAUCUAUUUAUAAAAUAAUAUGUGCUUAUAUAGUGUAUAGUAAAAUGUUACUAUAUCAAAAAAGUUAAGUGUAUUUUCCUGUAUGUCAAAAUAAGGUAAAAAACUAGGAUUAGAUACCCUAUUAUUCUUAAUGAAAAGACCAUAGAUUGAGGAGUAAAAUUAUUAUAAACUCAAAAGUCAUGGCGGCUGUUAUGAUUUAUCAGGGGAGCUUACCAAGUAAUUGAUAACCACCAAGAUACUCUUCUUAAGUUAAAAAGUUUGUAUGCCGUCGUCUUAAAUUUUUCAGAGAAAAAUUUUUUUACCUAAGAGAGGUAGGAAGACAGAUCAAGGUGCAGCUGAUACUAGAGAUUUAAGGCGAGCUACAAUAACUGAAUAUUCACCCAUGCGACUUUAAAAGUAUCGCUGAAGUUGGACUUGAAAGUAAGUCAUAAUAAAAAUUAAUAACUGAAUAGCUUAUUAAUAGUGC
rnacentral:rRNA from 1 species